ensembl:lncRNA
GCGCUCCCUCGGCCCCAGCGCCCGGACCCGGGGGGCGGCCCGCGCGCCCCGCGCCCACGGGGGCCCCGCCUCCGGGCGGGCCGGCUGCUGGGGGGGCGCACCCCGACUUCCCCGGGGUCACAUGGGCUGCGGGGGGCGGGAGCGCCGGGAAAGGGGGAGGCGCGGGGAGCUCGCUGCCUGCCUGCCUGCUCGCUCGAGCCGGGGACGAGACGCCCCCCACCCCUCCAGCUCGGCCUCUCCAUCCAAGUUCCCGGUCCCCGGCCGCCCGGAUCCGGGGAUGGCAACCGCCGCCCGCCCGCCUCUGCGCCCUUUUUUCCAGCCGCCGCGCAGAAAUUUAGGUCAAGGACGUCGGGAUCAAACCCAAACCCUGGCGCUCCUUGGGCGCUCCCGGAGACCCCCAGAACGGGGGGCGGGGGGCUUUCAGGAUGGUGCGGACACCCUCCGCACAAACCCCAGCCACAAGUUUUAUUUUCCUUUCGCGCUGGAAGUUCUGUCUGGCUCUCGAUCCACACCGGCACGUCUUGCGCGGCUCCCCGCCCUUCCCCGGCAGAGGUACGAAUCCGUGCCCGGGGAAGGUUAUUUUGGAACUUUGAGGAAACGGACGCGAUUCCAGUGGACACAAUGAGGUACACUCAACACCAAAACUGCACCGGGUCCACUGUGGGUCUUGGAAAAGCAGACUAUCUGAAAAAUCCCAACAUCAACCAAAGCCUUAAUCUCCCUGUCUCCUCAAUUGGGGAACUUUUGUAUCCACGUCCAUAAGUCAAUCAGGCUGCAGUUUUGCCUUCUCAUGUUGCCUUUCUCUGGUUAUACUGGCCUCAAAAAAUGAACUGGUAAGUUUCCUAUAAACAGCAUACAAUUGGACCUUGUUCCUUUAUUUAUUGGGUUGACUGGUAUAUCCAUGGCCUUAUUUCAUUUUUUCCUAUGAUGAACACUUAUAAACCUGCUAUUCAACCAGAGACUAAAACAGCAACGGUGACUGACAACUCCUUGUGCGUUCCUCCCCCGUUUGCUCACCUAAAGAAACUGCCAGUCUCAAUCUUGUCGCUGAGCUGAUUAAGAAGAAAGCUGACUCCUACCUUCCAAUCUUGUGUCCAUUUCAUCUGCUUCCAAACAUAAAGCCGCCCGCU